CUGCGGGGCUCGGCGGGCGGACCGCGGUGCCGCGCAGAGGGCUCUUCCCCUCACGCGCGGUCGUUCCCCUCAGCGCGCUCUGAAGCGCUGAGGUGUUUCUGCGUUAACCUCCUUUGAGAGGACGCUUGAAAGAAAUAAGCUUUAAAAUGUGUACCGGAGCGUUAACUGACGAUGCAGUCCGUAGUCGUUCAUCUGUCUCAGUUUGCCCGGUUGGAAACUAUUUUCCAGCCUGCCUGACCCUGUUAAAUACUCACCUGAUUUUCCCCACACCAUCACGCUGAGCGCCAGGAAAGGCAUAAAAUGCCCGUGGAGAAUGUCCUUGAGUGCUGUGUUACAGGUGGCCCGUGCAAGGUCUGGCACGAGAGUGCCCUUUACGUACACCAGCUCUGCAGUGCAGCCUCAUGGCUAAAGAAAAUCUCCUACAUGCCAGAUGAGAAACAGCAGAUGAGAAACUAAAGCAAGCAGGAUCGCCGGCAGUGAUAGCAGUCGCCUCCCUGCCGCUAUUUGCACUGACUGAUGACUCUUUAGCACUUCUUGUCGACACCAGGAGAGAGCCUACUGGCGUUAUGUUCUAAUGUGGGACUGCUGGUUAUGUCUGGUGAACAGAAACGUUCAGUGGUGCCACUCUAGGCUCCCUUACUGGGGCACAUCCCUGGUUUGCUGCUUUCCAAGCCUUCUCUGUGAAGCAGCAGAAACUCUGGUUUACCUCCUGGGCUGCAGCAUCAGUCCCUGGAGAAGGGAAGCCCAGUGCUGCUUUCACAUAGGCCUGGCUGUCACAUCAGCCCAGCGCUGCCCGCUCCGCGUGCCUCCCACACAAGUGACCUGGAACACAGCCCUGUGCUGACACAGCUAACAGCUCCUCUUGCCCAAGCUCACUCUACGCUGUGGGAAGGGGGAGAAGAAGAGGAAGAAGCAGAGGAAGAACAAUGGGGCUGUAGGCCUCGGUCCCAUCAGCACCAUCCGGUCCCACAUGGCCACACCAGGCUGCAUGCCUGCCUGUGUUGGCCUGGGCUUAGAGCACCGAUGCAUUACCUGCAGCCAUUGGCUUUCCCCAGCGUCACUUCACGGGGCCACGAGUGACGGACUGGCCCCAAGCACAGUAAGUAGGUUAAGGCUAAACUGUGAAGUUCAGAAGAGGCUGAGCUAAAUCCAUUGUGCAGCCUGGCUCAUGCGAUUUCCCAGCUCAGCUUUAUCAGAGCAGUACUAUCCACAUGCAGCAUUUCGUGGCCUCCGAUGCAAUGCUGAAGGAGCAAAUCUGAGAGCAUCUCAGUGCUGCUGGGGGUCAUCACCCUCAGAAACUGAUCAGCACUCAUACCUCAGCACUGAUACCACGCUGGCUGGCAAUCUUCUAACACGGUUAUCAGCAAUGUCUGCCUGCCCUGGCCUCUGUGUGAGGAAUGAACAGGCUGCAUCCCUCCCAGCAGCAAAGUACGCUUUAAUCUCCCUGUCAGCAGACUGCCUGCAGUGCAGAUGAUGCCCCCUGUUUUGGAGAAACAUAAAUACUCUCCGUACCGCUGAGCUCAGCGAUGAAAGUAUAUCAAAGCUGGCCUUAGGAUGCUCGUCCUGAGUGAUAACAGAAGUGCGGGUGUGAAAGGCAAG
rnacentral:lncRNA from 1 species